UACGAAGGGGGCUAGCGUUGCUCGGAAUUACUGGGCGUAAAGCGCACGUAGGCGGCUUUCUAAGUCAGGGGUGAAAUCCUGGAGCUCAACUCCAGAACUGCCUUUGAUACUGGAGAGCUUGAGUCCGGGAGAGGUGAGUGGAACUCCGAGUGUAGAGGUGAAAUUCGUAGAUAUUCGGAAGAACACCAGUGGCGAAGGCGGCUCACUGGCCCGGUACUGACGCUGAUGUGCGAAAGCGUGGGGAGCAAACAGGG
rnacentral:rRNA from 1 species